AUUAAUAUAUUAUAAAUAAUUAUAUUUGAUUUCCAAUCAAAAGAUCUAAAAUCUAGUAUUAAUA
rnacentral:tRNA from 1 species